rnacentral:misc_RNA from 1 species
UCCCCGUUACCGAGGCAGUCUGGUUAGAAAAAUACAACUAACCAUAAGGGUUGCGCUCGUUGAGGGACUUAACCCAACAUCUCACGACACGAGCUGACGACGGCCAUGCAUCACCUGUCACUACGGCCCGAAGGCACAGUCUCCUUUCGGAGACCUUAGUAGGAUGUCAAACCUUGGUAAGGUUCUACGCUUAUCAUCGAAUUAAACAACACGCUCCACCGCUUGUGCGGGUCCCCGUCAAUUCCUUUGAGUUUUAAUCUUGCGACCGUACUCCCCAGGCGGAAUGCUUAACGCGUUAGCUUCGCUACUCAAGGGGUCGAUACCUCAAACAGCUAGCAUUCAUCGUUUACGGCGUGGACUAC